AUUGAACGCUGGCGGCAGGCCUAACACAUGCAAGUCGAGCGGAUGAAGGGAGCUUGCUCCUGGAUUCAGCGGCGGACGGGUGAGUAAUGCCUAGGAAUCUGCCUGGUAGUGGGGGAUAAGGUCCGGAAACGGGCGCUAAUACCGCAUACGUCCUGAGGGAGAAAGGGGGGGAUCUUCGGACCUCACGCUAUCAGAUGAGCCUAGGUCGGAUUAGCUAGUUGGUGGGGUAAAGGCCUACCAAGGCGACGAUCCGUAACUGGUCUGAGAGGAUGAUCAGUCACACUGGAACUGAGACACGGUCCAGACUCCUACGGGAGGCAGCAGUGGGGAAUAUUGGACAAUGGGCGAAAGCCUGAUCCAGCCAUGCCGCGUGUGUGAAGAAGGUCUUCGGAUUGUAAAGCACUUUAAGUUGGGAGGAAGGGCAGUAAGUUAAUACCUUGCUGUUUUGACGUUACCAACAGAAUAAGCACCGGCUAACUUCGUG
rnacentral:rRNA from 1 species